UACGUAGGUGGCAAGCGUUGUUCGGAAUUAUUGGGCGUAAAGGGCGCGUAGGCGGCAUGUUAAGUCGGCUGUGAAAGCCCGGGGCUCAACCCCGGAGGGUCGGCCGAUACUGGCAAGCUAGAGUACAGAAGAGGUAGCUGGAAUUCCUGGUGUAGCGGUGAAAUGCGCAGAUAUCAGGAAGAACACCAAUGGCGAAGGCAGCUCUCUGGGACGGUACUGACGCUGAGACGCGAAAGCGUGGGGAGCGAACAGG
rnacentral:rRNA from 1 species